rnacentral:tRNA from 1 species
GGGAAUUUAGUUAAGGGGCAUAAUGGCCGCUUGUGCUGCGGUUGUCUCCUGUUCGAGUCAGGAAGUUCCCG